UACAGAGGUCCCAAGCGUUGUUCGGAUUCACUGGGCGUAAAGGGUGCGUAGGCGGUUCGUUAAGUCUGUCGUGAAAUCCCCGGGCUCAACCUGGGAAUGGCGAUGGAUACUGGCGAGCUAGAGUGUGUCAGAGGAUGGUGGAAUUCCCGGUGUAGCGGUGAAAUGCGUAGAGAUCGGGAGGAACAUCAGUGGCGAAGGCGGCCAUCUGGGACAACACUGACGCUGAAGCACGAAAGCGUGGGGAGCAAACAGG
rnacentral:rRNA from 1 species